rnacentral:snRNA from 1 species
GUGCUCACUUCGGCAACACAUAUACUAAAAUUGGAACGAUGCACAGAAGAUUAGCAUGGCCCCUGCACAAAAUUAUGAACAGAAAGUAGCAUUCAUCCUUC